rnacentral:rRNA from 1 species
CCCGCACAAGCGGUGGAGCAUGUGGUUUAAUCCGAUGAUACGCGAGGAACCUUACCUGGGCUCAAAUGUAUGUUGACGUAUUCUGAAAGGGAUACUUCUUCGGACAAUAUACAAGGUGCUGCAUGGUUGUCGUCAGCUCGUGCCGUGAGGUGUCGGGUUAAGUCCCAUAACGAGCGCAACCCCUAUCAUUAGUUGCCAUCAGGUCGAGCUGGGGACUCUAAUGAAACUGCCUACGCAAGUAGUGAGGAAGGUGGGGAUGACGUCAAGUCCUCAUGGCCUUUAUGACCAGGGCUACACACGUACUACAAUGGCCGAUACAAAGGGCAGCGACACUGCGAGGUGAAGCCAAUCCCGUAAAAUCGGUCUCAGUCCGGAUUGGAGUCUGCAACUCGACUCCAUGAAGUUGGAAUCGCUAGUAAUCGUGGAUCAGCAUGCCACGGUGAAUACGUUCCCGGGCCUU